UAGUCCACGCCGUAAACGAUGUCUACUAGCCGUUGGGAGACUUGAUUUCUUAGUGGCGCAGCUAACGCGCUAAGUAGACCGCCUGGGGAGUACGGCCGCAAGGUUAAAACUCAAAUGAAUUGACGGGGGCCCGCACAAGCGGUGGAGCAUGUGGUUUAAUUCGACGCAACGCGAAGAACCUUACCUGGGUUUGACAUCCCGAUCGUACUUUCUGGAAACAGUUAGGUCAGCUUGGCUGGAUCGGUGACAGGUGCUGCAUGGCUGUCGUCAGCUCGUGCCGUGAGAUGUUGGGUUAAGUCCCGCAACGAGCGCAACCCUUGUCCUUAGUUGCCAGCACAUUAUGGUGGGAACUCUAAGGAGACUGCCGGUGACAAACCGGGAGGAAGGUGGGGACGACGGUCAAGUCAUCAUGGCCCUUAGACCUGGGGCUACACACGUGCUACAAUGGGAACGCACAGAGGGGCUG
rnacentral:rRNA from 1 species